GCCUUGAUGGCUCAGUGGUUAGAUCCUCUGCUCUAGCUACUGGUACCACAAAGGCCCCCUGUUCGAAUCAGUCGGUUGACGCG